rnacentral:tRNA from 1 species
AGCUCCUUAGUUAAAGAAAUAACGUCUCCCUUCAAAGGAGAAGUUGCCUAGGGCAGGUAGGGGCUG